CAGCACCUCAAGUGGUCAGGAUGAUUAUUGGGCCUAAAGCAUCCGUAGCCGGCGCUGUAAGUUUUCGGUUAAAUCUGUACGCUCAACGUACAGGCUGCCGGGAAUACUGCAGCGCUAGGGAGUGGGAGAGGUAGACGGUACUCGGUAGGAAGGGGUAAAAUCCUUUGAUCUAUUGAUGACCACCUGUGGCGAAGGCGGUCUACCAGAACACGUCCGACGGUGAGGGAUGACAGCUGGGGGAGCAAACCGGAUUAGAUACCCGAGUAGUCC
rnacentral:rRNA from 1 species